GUCGUCGCCCAUUUAAUGCAUUUAAACACAAAUGUGUAGAGCGUAUAUUAUAAUAAUUAAAGUGAAUGUCAACGAAUGAUAAAUUGGUGCCUAUAACGAUAAUAAAAUAGUAGGUAAUAGUUAUAAAUUAUAAUAUUAAUUUUGCAGUAUAUCUACCAAUGUUUGUACUGUCUGUAGUUUAUACUAUUAUAAUAUACGUACUCGGGUAUUAUUAUGUAUCUGGAGUGUCGGAGUGGUAAAUGGUGAUGCUAUAACGUUUUGCGUUGCAAUACCUCUAAGUUUAAUAGCCAUGUCGUGUAUAAAAGAUUAUAAUAUUAUUGAUAUUCAAUAUUAUGGAUUUUCGCUAGAACUAAGUCGUGUGGUUUGAUUUACAGCUGCCGACGGUGUUUCCCAUUGCGUCCUGAUGUUUACUUCGAUUUAAAUCAACUGGUGGUUGCGGCAUGCAUCGAUUUCGAGAAUUUUCGUUAUUAUUAUGAUUAUCGUACAGAUAUAAACACGAAGUUCAUUAUAAUAUAUAUAAUAUGUCAUGUACACGGAAUCGGUGAACUGCGAGUCCUGCUGCUAGUCAAACGGGGAUUUUCGAAAUAAUUCGCUCGUGGUGUAUCGUAUGUCCUCGAGUCGUUAACAGCCGAACCUAACCGAGUAAGCAUGAAAGUCAUUUGAUGCUUUGAUACGUGUACACAGUUAUUGCACUUGCAUACAGUUUAUGAUGACGGUAACAUUAAGCUGAUCUAAUAGUAGUAUACUCGAUGUAUAUUGUACUAUAGAAAAAUAUAACGUAACUAUUACGUAAUGGGUCAUCGAAACUUUUCUCGACAAAAUAUUUUAUAAUAAAUAAGUAUAUGAUAGGUACACGUUUAGUCGUAUUAUAAUAAGCGUCAGAACGAUUUGUACAUAAUUGUAUAGUCCUAAAUAGUAUUUUGAAUAUAUAUUAAAAUUCUAAAAUUUAAUAUAUAAUAGGAGGGGGGUUGUCUAAUUAACAAUGUAGUU